rnacentral:tRNA from 1 species
UUCUUUAAAGUUUUAAAAACAUUAGAUUGCAAAUCUAAGUUAAAUAAAAGAAA